UUGAAAGGGAAACGAUUGAAGUCAGUCGUACCGACGAGAAAUCAGCUUAUCGUGUGUUAACUUGUGGGCGUGCGUGAGUUUCGGCCUCGCUGUUUGCAUGUUUGUGCGCUUUGGGUGUACUUUUUCGUAUGGUUGGCNAACAUCAGUUUCGAUCACUAUAAAAUGACUGGCGGAAUGUAGCUUCGAUUUCGGUUGAAGUGUUAUAGCCUCUGGUAGAUGUGGUAAUUGGGACUGAGGAUUGCAACGAAUAUCCUUUGGGCUAUCCGUCUGGCCUCUGAAAGUUGCUUGGGUGCUGAAAGCUUGCUUAUGGUUAUCUAAGUUAACGGUCAAUAGGUUAGAACGUGAUUACAUUCGUUAAGGAUGUUGACGUA
rnacentral:rRNA from 1 species